UACAGGGGGUGCAAACGUUGCUCGGAAUCAUUGGGCGUAAAGGGCGCGUAGGCGGCUUGCACCGUCAGAUGUGAAAUUCCUGGGCUUAACCUGGGGGCUGCAUUUGAUACGUGUGGGCUUGAGUGCGGAAGAGGGUCGUGGAAUUCCCAGUGUAGAGGUGAAAUUCGUAGAUAUUGGGAAGAACACCAGUGGCGAAGGCGACUUACUGGACACAUAUUGACGCUGAGGUGCGAAAGCGUGGGGAGCAAACAGG
rnacentral:rRNA from 1 species